AGGACGAACGCUGGCGGCGUGCUUAACACAUGCAAGCCGAGCGGAAAGGCCCUUCGGGGUACUCGAGCGGCGAACGGGUGAGUAACACGUGGGUAACCUGCCCCUUGCUCUGGGAUAACUCCGGGAAACCGGGGCUAAUACCGGAUAUGACACUCGCAGGCAUCUGCUGGGUGUGGAAAGUUUUUCGGCGAGGGAUGGGCCCGCGGCCUAUCAGCUUGUUGGUGGGGUGAUGGCCUACCAAGGCAGUGACGGGUAGCC
rnacentral:rRNA from 1 species